AUACAGACAAUUAUAGGCUAUUAUAAUGAGUCCCUAAAAACAUAUUUUUUAAUGUGUUGUCUUUUUCAGAUUGCUAUGCAUGAGAAGAAAGCUCAUGAUAUUUGGGUAAGAUUUUUUUCCCCCUUUUCUUUAUUUUGUGAAUAGCCUACCGCAACUGAAUUUGAAUAUUUUCUCUUUAAUAGCUCAAAGCUCGUUCUGCAAGAAGAGCUAUAGCUGAAAAGAAAACGGAAGCUACUAAUGUGAGACAGAAACUAUUGGAAAUGACCCAAAAGAUGGCAGUGCGGCAAGAUGAACCCGUGAUUGUAAAACCUAUGCCGGGAAGACCAAAUUUACAAAAUCUUCCUCGGAAAGGUAGGGGGCACUUUGUAAAAGGAGCUGUUUUAUUUCUUGGAGCAGAAUGUAUGUAAAUUACUUUUUAUUUCUGUGUGUAAUGGUUAUGAAAUAAUCUGAAUGAUUUGUUAGAGUGGGAGGUGAGGGUUGGUGUCAGGGAGAAGGCUUCUUUAAAGUAGUAACACGGCAUUAUUGUCUUUAGGUCCACUGAGCCAUAAUGGCUCUUUUGGUCCAUCCCCCCUGAGUGGUGGAGAAUGUUCCCCUCCACUGACAGCACAGCUAGCUGGGAGACCUCCUUCUGCUACUCUUAAUC